CUUUCCUACGCUAAAAACCACUGAGUGGAGUAUUUAGUACACAGGAAGUCGGCCAGAGAAACAUUUCUCAUAUUUGAAGGCCGGAAAGAGGGACAUUUCUGACACCGGAAGUCAGUGAGAGGACUCUUUCCCACACAGGAAGUCAGCUAGAGAGCCGUCUCCCCUCUCUGGAGCCGAGAGAGGCCGGUUUCCCCCACCGACAACAUCCAGAGGUGUCCAGAAAGAAGGUGGCCUUGACCAGAAUUCCUCAGCCUUGGCUGCACAUGAGAACCAGUGAGGGAGCCCUAAAAACGCUGAUGCCCAGGCUCCACCCAGACCUAUAGGUGCAGAACCUCUAGGGGAGGGCCCAGCCAUCGCGCUUUGAAAAAUCUCCUCAGGUCUCACAUGAGUACUUCACAAUGGGGAAACUGAACUGGAACUCUACUGACAACGCAGUUGGGAGUUCAAACUUAAUAACCUUCCAGAGUUGGUAUCAAAUUCAGACGCUGACGCUCCUUGGAGAGGUUCUUUGCUGCAAGAGGAUGGAAAGGAUCACUGUGAUUUUGUUUUUCUCCUGCUGCUCUGUCUGGAAGCCAUGUGAGGAGGACAUCUGAGCAGCCCUGUGGAGAGGCCCCCAGCCAACAGCCAGCAUGAACUUGCUGGGCAUGUGAGUGCACCACCUUGAAAGUAGAGCCUCAACCCCUGGUCAAGCCAUCAGGGAGAGCUCAAGCUGGCCUGUUGGAAGAUGACAGGCCAUAUGCAACAGACGUGAAGUGUCCCAGCUGAUCCCCUUCCAGAACACCCACCUUCCAGAUGACCACAGAUGCAAGGGUGAGCCAGCCAAUAGCUGCUGAGACAUUCCCAGAAAGACAGAACAUCCAGCUGACCCAUGGACUCAUGGGCGAUCAUGGAUAAAUGGAUAUUGUUUCAAGCUACUAGGUUUGGGGUUGGUUUGUUACGCAGCAAUAGCUAACAGCUACACCUCUAUUUUAAGGAGUUGUGAAGAUAAAUUGCAAAGGUACAGAAAAAUGAAUAGCUAUAA
rnacentral:lncRNA from 1 species